rnacentral:rRNA from 1 species
CAUGCAAGUCGAGGGGCAACAUGGUAUCAGCUUGCUGAUACCGAUGGCGACCGGCGCACGGGUGAGUAACGCGUAUGUAAUCUACCUGUAACAGAGGGAUAACCCGGAGAAAUCCGGACUAAUACCUCAUAGCACAUAUUAUUCGCAUGAAUUUUAUGUUAAAGAGACUCGGUUACAGAUGAACAUGCGUUCCAUUAGCUGGUUGGCGGGGUCACGGCCCACCAAGGCAACGAUGGAUAGGGGUUCUGAGAGGAAGGUCCCCCACACUGGUACUGAGACACGGACCAGACUCCUACGGGAGGCAGCAGUGAGGAAUAUUGGUCAAUGGGCGAAAGCCUGAACCAGCCAAGUCGCGUGGAGGAAGACGGCCCUACGGGUUGUAAACUCCUUUUACCUGGGAAUAACGGGCGCUACGCGUAGCGCUGUGCAAGUACCGGGCGAAUAAGCAUCGGCUAAUUCCGUGCCAGCAGCCGCGGUAAUACGGAAGAUGCGAGCGUUAUCCGGAUUUAUUGGGUUUAAAGGGUGCGUAGGCGGAAGAAUAAGUCAGCGGUGAAAUGCUUCAGCUCAACUGGAGAAUUGCCGAUGAAACUGUUUUUCUAGAGUAUAAAAGAGGUAUGCGGAAUGCGUGGUGUAGCGGUGAAAUGCAUAGAUAUCACGCAGAACCCCGAUUGCGAAGGCAGCAUACUGGGCUAUAACUGACGCUGAAGCACGAAAGCGUGGGCAUCGAACAGGAUUAGAUACCCUGGUAGUCCACGCCGUAAACGAUGAAUACUAACUGUUUGCGAUAUAAUGUAAGCGGUACAGCGAAAGCGUUAAGUAUUCCACCUGGGGAGUACGCCGGCA